AUUGAACGCUGGCGGCAGGCUUAACACAUGCAAGUCGAGCGGAGAGAGGUAGCUUGCUACCGAUCUUAGCGGCGGACGGGUGAGUAAUGCUUAGGAAUCUGCCUAUUAGUGGGGGACAACAUUUCGAAAGGAAUGCUAAUACCGCAUACGUCCUACGGGAGAAAGCAGGGGAUCUUCGGACCUUGCGCUAAUAGAUGAGCCUAAGUCGGAUUAGCUAGUUGGUGGGGUAAAGGCCUACCAAGGCGACGAUCUGUAGCGGGUCUGAGAGGAUGAUCCGCCACACUGGGACUGAGACACGGUCCAGACUCCUACGGGAGGCAGCAGUGGGGAAUAUUGGACAAUGGGCGCAAGCCUGAUCCAGCCAUGCCGCGUGUGUGAAGAAGGCCUUAUGGUUGUAAAGCACUUUAAGCGAGGAGGAGGCUACUUUAGUUAAUACCUAGAGAUAGUGGACGUUACUCGCAGAAUAAGCACCGGCUAACUCUGUGCCAGCAGCCGCCGUAAUAC
rnacentral:rRNA from 1 species